CUCCCUAGAAUUGUAAAACUUAAAUAUUUGAGAUUCAGAUAGUUUGGAAUAUCAGCACAUGUGCACUUGUAUUUUGAGAAGAGUCUUGAGAAGAAGAAGAUGUCCGGGUAUGUUUUUGAAACUAUAGUAAUUCACAACGCGUGGAUAACUGCACUGUUCACAGAAGAUCUGAUCCGGCGUCGUGCCGAGCACAAUGAGUGUGAGAUAUUCUCCCUGGAGGAGGUCUCCCUCCACCAACAGGACAUUGAGAGAAUUGAGCACAUUGAGCGUUGGUGCAGGGAUCUGAAAAUCCUCUACUUACAGAACAACCUCAUACCACGGAUUGAGAACGUAGGACGCCUCAAGAAGCUGGAGUACUUGAACCUGGCCUUGAACAACAUACUAGUCAUUGAAAACCUGGAAGGCUGCGAGAAUCUCCAAAAGUUGGACCUGACUGUCAAUUUUGUGGGGCGAUUGAGCAGCGUUGAGACCCUGACACAAAACAUCCACUUGCGUCAACUCUUCCUGGUGGGGAACCCCUGUACGCUGUUUGAAGGAUACCGGAAAUACGUCGUAGCGACGCUGCCGCAACUCAAGUGUCUCGACGGCACCGAGAUAACACGGUCUGAGCGCAUCACCGCCAAUCAGGGCCUGGAGGAGCUGAAGAGGUCUGUUAUGGAGCAGGAGGAACAAUACCUGAGGAAGAACACCCAGGAGAAGGAAGAGGAAAAGGAGGAGGCCAACAAGAAGCAGGCUGCAGAUCGGGCAAGAAGUCAGGAUGGGGAAGGAGGAAGUGGUGCGUCUGACUUAGAGGACAAGCAGGAGGAUGCGACAGAGUCGGAUGAAGAGCGACGGGAAAAAGAAUUUUGGCACACGCCUUGUCCCUUUACCCCAGAAUCACGCCUAGAGGCUCACCGCCACCUGGAGGCCAAAAGAAGGGCCAAGGAGAAAGGUAACGAGAGGAAAGUGAAGCCCCCGAGAACUCUGAUAACUGCUGAUGGACGAGUCCUGAAUGUCAAUGAGCCCAAACUGGACUUCUCUCUGACGGAAGAUGACAACAACAACAGGAUUGUCUUAGAUUUGCCAGUGUACAGACACAUGGACACCUCUUUGAUCGACGUGGAUGUGCAGCCAACAUAUGUCAAAGUCUCCGUCAAAGGAAAGAUAUUUCAGCUGGUUCUGCCAGCUGAGGUCAAGCCUGAUAGCUCAACUGCUCAGAGGUCACAGACCACGGGACACUUGUUGCUCCACAUGCCCAGGGCUCAAGGUGAAAUCAAGGCGAAAAAAGCUGCACGUCCAUCCAAAGAUGACCGCCGCCUCCACUCCAGCUUGUCUGACAAGAGGGAACGUUCCAUUCCAGAGAGAUUGGAAGUGGACACCAGCGGAACUGUGGACAUUGCCAAUAUCGUGACUCGCCACCGCACCACCGAAGGGCCGCUAGAAGCGUCUCGCUGCAAUCCGACCACCGCGACGCUUCUCGAGCGUGUACCCUUGGAAGGAUUUGAAGAUGACCCUGACGUCCCGCCUCUCAUUUAAUCGCAUCCCGUCACAGAAUGGAGAAGGGGCUCACCCACUUACAAUCGUGACUUCAGUGUGGAUGUUGAGGAAUGAUGAUAAAGAAGUUGAGAUCAGGAUGGGAAGAAGACAAUAAGGAGCUGAGAGGACAUGACACCAAUGACUACACAAGCAUGAAUGACUUUCUCAAUAAGAAGAUGAAUGAUUUAGACACAAAGGAUAUCUUAAUGACUAUUAGGCUGCAAUAAUAUAGAGGUGAUAACAUGGAGUCGCACAGAAAAAAAAAAUCUAAUCAAUGACUGGUCUGCUUGACUUUCUGCUUGAGAUAGUGGUGUUUCCUAAGGGCACUAAACACAUCUCAGUCUUUUUUUCACGUUCUCAGUUUUGGUUGGGUUGAGUUGGGUUGGGUUGGUUUUGUUAGUUUCCAGUGUUCCAUGUCUCAUGUGCUCAUUUUGUUAGUUGUGUCCACUUGUUCUUGUUUCCCCUCCUCCCUUGUAUUGACCAAUCAGCUCCCUCUAGCCACUUGUGCCGUGUCCAAGUGUUUCUCGUUGUCUCGUCAAUCUCUGUGUAUUUAACAUCGUUUUCUUGCAGUACUGAUCAGUCUGUUGUCCAUGCCAUUGGUGCUUCGUUGCUCAUUGCGUUUUUCAAAGUCAUGUCAAGUUUCGACUUUAGGUUUAUUUAAGUCAUACUUUGCCCUGCUCUUCGUGUCAACCAAUCAGAUCCCUCAAGCCAUUUGUCUCUUUAGUCAUUUGGUUUUUAAUUCCUGGUUUCUGCUUAUGGUGUCUGUGGGCCAGAGUCCUGGUAGGAGAAAACCGCAUUCCUCACCCUGAAUCUGAGAUUCGACACAUACUCUCUUCUAAAGAAAGGGGACCAUCACCUGUGUCUGCCAAUCCAGUCCAAUGGACCUUUCCGACUGGUGAUCUUCAGCUCCCCACCCCUUAACUACAGAUGCCAUCCCCCACAAUCUUACAAAAUGGCGACUGAACAUAACAGGUUUGAACUAGAUUCUCUAUUGCGUAUUCCAAAUAAUAUUGUUUUUUGCCAUAAGCGUCAGACUUGUCCAAGAGAGUUCUACAGAGAGGUCUCAACUAUUUUAUGUAAGGAUAUGUACGUGGAAUUAAGAUUUUGGACGGAGCAGGACGCAAUGUCAGAGUUACAGCGAAACGUUGGCGAUCGAUGCAAAAAAGUUUGACACCUCACAAACUUCAUAUUGAAAUCCAACAGGAUAAAAUAGUGGAACCGCACUGUGCAUGUUAAGCAGGGUGAGCACUUUUUACUUGACGAGCAAUAUCACGAGCAAUAUCAUUGGAGUCUUUAUAAGUGAGUGGGUGUAUUCAUUUGAAUUGGUUGGUAAUGGAACCCGCUGCACUGUCUUAAAAGUCUGAUGUGAUCCAAAUAGGCAAAUAGACAUUUCUCUUGCACGAAGUGGUGCAUUUACGUAUCACUAACCCGACUUUUCGACAUAAAACAUGACACACUUCAUUCAGCAGGUCAGUGAUACGCUAACAAAGUGUUCAAAGUUGUUCUCCUGCAAUGUAGAAAGCACUAAUAAUAAUUAAAUCAAACUAAGAGAAGAUACAUUGCCCUUACCUUCGAACAUACAGCCUUGUGUUUGUUGAUAUUGUCCACACUUAGUUAUAUGUGUGCUCUUCCGCGAGCCUUAAUCCAUCGUAGACACUUCCUCAACAUUGUUUUACGCAGUAGAAAAUGAAUCAACCGGGCCGCUUAUAAGCAGGAUAUCGUUCAUCAGAAUUGCAUGUUCUCCAAGCGCAUCUGAGGACCAUUUUCUUCGUUAACAUUAACUUUUCAAGCGCACGCAACCGAUGAACCAGCAUUGCUUAUGGGACAUGACGACAAGAGGGUCGGGUCAAGCCAGGGGUUAAGACAAUGUGGCUAUCUGAUUGGCUAUUAUUGUAUGAGUGAUUAACAGGUCGGAAAGGUCCAUACUGUCUCCAAUGUCAAUGUGAUAUUGCAUAGACUUGUCAACAGGCCCACAACA